rnacentral:rRNA from 1 species
GCUUACCCACCAAAACUAACCAAACAAUAUAUAUAAAAUAAAAUGGACAAAACACCAAAAACUAAACCAUUCUUUUACCUGAGUAUGGGAGACAGAAAAGGUUCAACCAAAGCAAUAGAAAUAGUACCGCAAGGGAAAGCUGAAAGAGAAAUGAAACAACCCAUAUAAGCACAAAAAAGCAAAGAUUAAACCUUGUACCUUUUGCAUCAUGAUUUAGCCAGUACACCCAAGCAAAGAGACCUUUAGUUUGAAACCCCGAAACCAGGUGAGCUACCCCGAGACAGCCUAUUUAAGGGCCAACCCGUCUCUGUGGCAAAAGAGUGGGAAGAGCUCCGGGUAGAAGUGACAGACCUACCGAACCUGGUGAUAGCUGGUUGCCUAAGAAACGAAUAGAAGUUCAGCCUCGUACACCUCAAAUCAAACAAAUACAUAAACAAGACACCAAGAGAAAUAAACGAGAGUUAGUUAAAGGGGGUACAGCCCCUUUAACAAAGGAUACAACCUUAUCAGGAGGAUAAAGAUCAUAACAUACAAAACAUACUGUUCUAGUGGGCCUAAAAGCAGCCAUCUAAACAGAAAGCGUUAAAGCUCAGACAGAAAAAAGUUUAUUAUUCCGAUAAAUAAUCUUACUCCCCUAAAUUCUAUUAGGCUAAUCCAUGCCCCCAUGGAAGAAAUUAUGCUAAAAUGAGUAACAAGAAGGCCCGCCCUUCUCCCAGCACAAGUGUAAGCCAAACCGGACAGACCAUUGGCAAUUAACGAACUCAACCCAAGAGAGCAAUGUGAGCCACACAAAAACCAAGAAAACCACACAACCCAACAAUCGUUAUCCCCACACUGGAGUGCACCUAAAGGAAAGACUAAAAGAAAAGGAAGGAACUCGGCAAACACAAGCCUCGCCUGUUUACCAAAAACAUCGCCUCCUGCCACACAAUUAUGUAUAGGAGGUCCAGCCUGCCCAGUGACUACAAGUUCAACGGCCGCGGUAUUUUGACCGUGCAAAGGUAGCGCAAUCUCCCCUUUCCAGUCAGUGAAAUUGAUCUGCCCGUGCAGAAGCGGACAUAAUAAUACAAGACGAGAAGACCCUUUGGAGCUUAAGGUACAAAACUCAACCACGUCAAGCAACUCAGUAAAAAGCAAAAACUUUGUGGAAUAUGAAAUUUUACCUUCGGUUGGGGCGACCACGGAGGAAAACAAAGCCUCCAAGUGGAUUGGGAAAACCUCCUAAAACCAAGAGAGACAUCUCUAAGCCACAGAACAUCUGACCAAACAUGAUCCGGCUGCCCGAAGCCGAUCAACGAACCAAGUUACCCUAGGGAUAACAGCGCAAUCCUCUCCCAGAGUCCAUAUCGACGAGGGGGUUUACGACCUCGAUGUUGGAUCAGGACAUCCUAAUGGUGCAGCCGCUAUUAAGGGUUCGUUUGUUCAACGAUUAAAGUCCUACGUGAUCUGAGUUCAGACCGGAGCAAUCCAGGUCAGUUUCUAUCUGUAACGCUACUUUUCCUAGUACGAAAGGAUCGGAAAAGAGGGGCCCAUACUUCAAGCACGCCCCACCCCUAAUUUAUGAAAACAAAUAAAUA